rnacentral:rRNA from 1 species
UACGUAGGGUGCAAGCGUUAAUCGGAAUUACUGGGCGUAAAGCGUGCGCAGGCGGUUCUAUAAGACAGAUGUGAAAUCCCGGGGCUCAACCUCGGAACUGCCUUUGAUACUGUUGGUCUUGAGUCCGGAAGAGGUGGGUGGAAUUCCUAGUGUAGAGGUGAAAUUCGUAGAUAUUAGGAAGAACACCGGUGGCGAAGGCGGCCCACUGGUCCGGUACUGACGCUGAGGUGCGAAAGCGUGGGGAGCAAACAGG